UUGGACAUUUGACACAUCGGAAUCAAAGUCUAAUAUAAUCAAAUGCUGGGAGAACAUCUUAUUACCUAAGAUCUAAAAAUAUGCCCCAUUACCUAAUUUUUUCUUUUCAAAUAAAUUUUCAGCUUUUUCAUUUAUAAAACAUGAGUUAAAAAUAUGAAGAAUGAAGUGAGCUAACUCGACUCUAAAAUUUUCAUUGGAGAUAACAAAUUGAAAGAAAACCUGACUGAAGCAAGCUUGAGGAUAAACAAUAUGUUUUCCGGAUGGUUCAGAGCAAGCAAUAAUCUCAUUUACAAACGUUCCACUGAUUCUGUCAACUACGCAACUGCAAAGGCUCAAUGUGAAGGAAUGGGAGCUCGUUUGGUUUCAACUGGAAUUAGGAACAAUCAAGUCAAAAAUGAAAUAUUUCCGAAACAUUACUUAACCGGAGCGUAUGCAUGGAUAGGAUUGGACGACAUUAACAAUGAAGGAAUUUGGGUUUGGUCAGAUGGAAUGAACGAUUCACCAAGCGCAAUAUGUUGAACAGGAGAACCGAAGGGAGGUAGAAGCGAAAACUGUGCAAUCAUAUUAAUUUCAAAUUCUAAAAUUGUGGUUGCUGAUCUGAAUUGUUCCCAAAACUGUCGAUUUGUUUGCGAGAAGGAAUUUGCGUGUUUUUUAUAAACAAUCGUUUCAUUAACAUGUAGCUCGUUUUUAUUUUGAAAAAAUUGUUUCAUAUUGCGAUG